GAUGAACGCUAGCGGCAGGCUUAAUACAUGCAAGUCGUGGGGCAGCAUGAAUGUAGCAAUACAUUUGAUGGCGACCGGCAAACGGGUGCGGAACACGUACACAACCUUCCUAUAAGUGGGGAAUAGCCCAGAGAGAUUUGGAUUAAUACCCCGUAACAUAAUGAUGUGGCAUCACAUUAUUAUUAUAGCUUCGGCGCUUAUUGAUGGGUGUGCGGCUGAUUAGAUAGUUGGCGGGGUAACGGCCCACCAAGUCUACGAUCAGUAGCUGAUGUGAGGGCAUGAUCAGCCACACGGGCACUGAGACACGGGCCCGACUCCUACGGGAGGCAGCAGUAAGGAAUAUUGGUCAAUGGACGCAAGUCUGAACCAGCCAUGCCGCGUGAAGGAUUAAGGUCCUCUGGAUUGUAAACUUCUUUUAUCUGGGACGAAAAAAGGCGAUUCUUCGUCACUUGACGGUACCAGAUGAAUAAGCACCGGCUAACUCCGUGCCAGCAGCCGCCGCGGUAA
rnacentral:rRNA from 1 species